rnacentral:rRNA from 1 species
AGUGAACGCUGGCGGUAGGCCUAACACAUGCAAGUCGAACGACAGCACAGUAAGAGCUUGCUCUUACGGGUGGCGAGUGACGGACGGGUGAGGAAUACAUCGGAAUCUACUUUUUCGUGGGGGAUAACGUAGGGAAACUUACGCUAAUACCGCAUACGACCUACGGGUGAAAGCAGGGGAUCUUCGGACCUUGCGCGAUUGAAUGAGCCGAUGUCGGAUUAGCUAGUUGGCGGGGUAAAGGCCCACCAAGGCGACGAUCCGUAGCUGGUCUGAGAGGAUGAUCGGCCACACUGGAACUGAGACACGGUCCAGACUCCUACGGGAGGCAGCAGUGGGGAAUAUUGGACAAUGGGCGCAAGCCUGAUCCAGCCAUACCGCGUGGGUGAAGAAGGCCUUCGGGUUGUAAAGCUCUGUUGUUGGGAAAGAAAAGCAGCAGGUUAAUAUCCCGCUGUUCUGACGGUACCCAAAGAAUAAGCACCGGCUAACUUCGUG